AACGAACGCUGGCGGCAUGCCUAACACAUGCAAGUCGAACGAGACCUUCGGGUCUAGUGGCGCACGGGUGCGUAACGCGUGGGAAUCUGCCCUUGGGUCCGGAAUAACUCAGAGAAAUUUGAGCUAAUACCGGAUGAUGACGUAAGUCCAAAGAUUUAUCGCCCAGGGAUGAGCCCGCGUAGGAUUAGCUAGUUGGUGAGGUAAAGGCUCACCAAGGCGACGAUCCUUAGCNGGUCUGAGAGGAU
rnacentral:rRNA from 1 species